CCCUUAGAUGUCCUGGGCUGCACGCGCGCUACACUGAUGUGUCCAGUAAGCACAUAACCUCUUCCGAAAGGAACGGGUAACCUUUGCAAAGCACAUCGUGAUGGGGAUAGAUUAUUGCAAUUAUUAGUCUUGAACGAGGAAUUCCUAGUAAGCACAAGUCAUCAGCUUGUGUUGAUUACGUCCCUGCCCUUUGUACACACCGCCCGUCGCUCCUACCGAUUGAAUGUUCCGGUGAGCUCUUCGGACUGCGCGGUCUGCAGUUUCUGCGUUCCGUGCGGAAAGUUGCGCAAACCUUAACAUUUAGAGGAAGGAGAAGUCGUAACA
rnacentral:rRNA from 1 species